rnacentral:rRNA from 1 species
UACGAAGGGGGCUAGCGUUGUUCGGAUUUACUGGGCGUAAAGCGCACGUAGGCGGAUCGUUAAGUCGGGGGUGAAAUCCUGGAGCUCAACUCCAGAACUGCCUUCGAUACUGGCGAUCUUGAGUCCGGAAGAGGUGAGUGGAACUCCUAGUGUAGAGGUGGAAUUCGUAGAUAUCGGGAGGAACACCAGUGGCGAAGGCGGCGAUCUGGGAAGAUACUGACGCUGAGGUGCGAAAGCGUGGGGAGCAAACAGG